ACCCCUACGAACUGCAAUGCACCUUCAGAGAUUCAAUUUAGAGAUGUUGUGUCCAGUGGGAAUGGGAUUUGUAUUCAAACGAUUUGUGUUCAGAGAUUCAAUUCAUAACGUGUCCAAUUUAGCAGUGCGCUAACGGCACUCAAAGGAGCGUGUCCCGACUCAACUCGGAACGUGCCCUAACGGCACUCAAAUUAUAGUGCAAUGGCCGUUUAAAAAAUAGUGACCGUUGAAAAAAACAGGAAUUCACUUCUUAUAAAUGAACAGUUUACUUGAGAAGCAGGUCAAAUUUCUUGUUCUAUUUUCUUUUUGGUUUGAUUUGUCUCCCAUUGUAUGUUUUUGGCAUGGCCAUGCCUAUUUUUGAUUUUUAUUUUCCUGAAAUUUGGUUUUGAAUUUUUCUUUCCUGAAUUUUGGUUUUCCGUGUAUCUUCUUUUUUCUGUGGGUCGUCAUUUUUCAGUAUUCAGUAGCAAGAACACUACAUUCUGGAGUGGCUGAUUGGAGAUGUGGCCAGAAAAUAAGCAAAGCCAGAGGUGAUCGACUCUGCUUGACCAUUUUAACAGUAUCUUGGUCACCAAGUUGUGGAGUGUCUACAAAUGUUUGGAGGCUUGAAUGGGUAGCUGCUGAAGUGAAAUAAUGAAUGUAAUAUUUAAAAUUUCAGAAAAAAAUGUUACUAGAAAUCUUGAAUGGCUUGCUGAAUUAAUUAUUGAAAUCAGUAUUUGUAAACAGAUUUGUUUUUUAAUGUGAAAUUUUUAUUUGGAAGAGAUUGAAUUGGCUCCCUUUCCAAGGCUGUGGAGAAUGGUCAUUGGCCAUGCCCAUUUUUUUCAGUCUAGUUUCUAUUGGUUAAUUUUUUAUAUUUAUUUUUUACUGCAUGAAUAAGUUGUUGAAUCAACUACUGAAAUUAGUAUUUAUAAAUUGAUAUGUAAACAGAUUUGUUGUUUAAUGCCAAAUUUUUAUUUGGAAGGGGUUGAAUUGGCCCCCUUCCCAAGGCGGCAGAGAAUGGUCAUUGCCAUUCUUUUCAGUCUAGUGUCUAUUGGUUA